rnacentral:ncRNA from 17 species
ACAGGUGACCGAGUGGUUAAGGUGUAAGAUUCGAAAUCUUAUAGGUGGAUCCUGCACAGGUUCGAGUCCUGUUCUGUG